CACCCAUCUUUCUCCCCUCUUUUCUUUCAGACUGUGGUGUCACCUCGGUGACCUAUCAGCAAGGGGUGCUGUCUGCCACCAUCCUCUAUGAGAUCCUGCUGGGGAAGGCCACUGUGUAUGCUGUGCUGGUCAGCACYCUGGUGCUGAUGGCCAUGGUCAAGAGAAAGGAUUCCUGAAGCUAUCUYUGGAGGUGCAGCCAGGAACUUUCAACCCAAUAUGGCGCUGCAUGGAUUCUCCUUUUGCCAAUGCUUCUGAAGGGAUGUCAUCCCUCUCCUGACCCCAAUAUCUAUCCCCUAUAGGCAUGCUCACUUGAUCAUUUUKGCUUAAAUUUCCCUAACCCAAAGGAAUCCUAGAAUGCUUAGAUGAUCAAACAAAUAAAAUGUCCUGUUUCGGCCUAACGUGA